CAUAGACAUACAGUCUGGCGCAGAAAGUGUAAUUUAUGGAGAUAGAUACCUAUGCUCAGGACCACAUUUAUGACUAAAACUAGAUACAAGGAGCACUUCAGCAGUCCUGUUUAACGACAUGCCUCCUCAGUGGCCACCUUGAACCUAUUUGGAGAGAUUCUUGAGGAACAUCACCAUGCAUUCAAAGUAUUACAAACUGAAGAAAUGUCAUGGUCCUGCCGGUCCAGUCCUGGGUGGGCGGGUCCCAGCACACUGACGCUGACUCACGCCGGUAUUUAUAGGACCCAGGGGACGACUGGUCUUGGCCAGAUCGCCGCAACUCAUGCAACUCAUGUUCCUGCACUACCGUACUCUCGAUCGUCAACCCUGGUGUACCAACCUCUGCCUGUCCUCCAACCGACCCCGUAAACCUGACGUCUUUGAUACUUCUGCCUUCUCUGAUCGAUCUCCCGUGUACCGACCCCUGCCUGCCCGCGGACCUGCUCUCUACACCCGAUGUCCUGACUACCGCUGCUGCACUUGACUGUUUGCCUGAUCCCCGACUUUGGACUGAAUAAACACUUUUCCCCAACUGCCUAUGCAUCUCCAGAGUCCUGCAUUUGCGUCCUCCUCCUUAUCGAUGGGUCGUGACAGAACGAUCUGGCCAAACCAAGACCCAGCAGGAAAGACCCGGUGUCGCCGGGACCGACGCGAGGUAAACCGACUGCCGGAGGACCCAGCCUGUCCUGUUCGGGUAGGCUCUAUGCUGUUGUCCCCUUCUUCUGUGUGAAUAUGUCCCGACCACGACCCACUCAGUGCCUCAUAUUCUUUUGGACUCUGAUUUUUCGGACUAUGAGGAAGACCUUGGUUUAUAUGACCGGCUGCCUGACUACGAUUCAGAUUUUGACUAUGAAUUUCCUCUCCCGAUCUUUAGUCCCAGUCAGUUUGCUUCACCUCCCCGUGUUUCCAGCUCCUGAGUGUCUUCGCCCAGUAGGUCCAAGUCCUCGUCCUUCAACCCUUUUUUGGGAACCCGCUUGGCCAUCUACCGCGUGACGGCCAGAGGAGACGCCCAGGCCGUGUGCUUCCUUGUGCUUCCCGCUGCGCUGCGACAAAGACACAGUUCUCAUCCAUCCACUCCCCACUGGCAACAGCCAAACCAGCAGAUUCGGAGCUGGUGGUGAAACUUCCAGCUCAGAGGGAGGAGGGGUCCGCAAAUCCCGAGGUGCAGCGACCCGAGGUCUUCUAUCGCGAAAUGCGGGCGGAAAUAGAGCGGUAGAGCACCGAACUGGCGGUCCUCACGGCCCAGGUUUGACGAGGAUUAAAUAACCAGCCGGCCUACGCCGACGUCGCGGUUGCAACUGAGCCGCUCCCGAGACACGCCCACGUCGCGGUUUCAACAGACUCACUGCUGACUCAUGCUCACGCUGCGGUUGCAACUGAUCUGCUCCCGAGACACACCCAUGUUGCGGUUUCAGCAGACUCUCUGCUGACUCACGUUCACGCUGCAGUGGCAACGGAUCCACCGCCACACCAUUCCUCUUCACUGUGGCAACAGAUUCACUGCAAGUGCACGCUGUGAUGGCCACUGAUCCGCUACCAAGCCGAGCUCACGUUGCAGUGGAAACAGGUCCGGCGCCUCGCCACGCUCACGUCGCGGCUUAGACAGACGCAAUGCUGAUCCAUUCUCACGCCACGGUAUCCAUCGACCACUUUUCGAACAGAGCUCACGUCGCGGGUGGCAACAGAUUCACUGUUGCGUCACGCCUACGUCGCGUUGGUGACAGGUGCCCGGGCGACUGUCGUAGGAAAAGGGUGGAAUUGGCGAUUGAGGAUGAGCCUGCCAGAGUCCCUUCAACGAGGAACAAGACCCAGAAGCGAAUUGCAGAGGGCUUAAGUUCAGAAGCUGGAGUGAGUUCAGAUAAAGACGAGGCAAACUAUUUUCCUCCAGUUAAGAGGGGGAGAACUUUAUCAUUCCCGUUGCUCCGUGCCGUGCCCAAGAAUGAUCUAUUCACGCCCUCUAGUGUCUGCCAGUUCUCCUCCGGGAUCCCUGGCUAUGAGCCAGUCAGACUCCGUCUGAAGGAGCCGACUCUCAUUCAUGAACAAGCACCCAGUUCAGGAGUGCCAAGGCAAACACCGAAAGAGCAACAACGCAGCGUUCUGCCGUCUGUGGGGUUUUAGGAGCCAAUCUCCAAAUCCCACGUUCCUGUUCAGGAGGUGGCGAUGGCGCCGCAGCCGCCUCACGUUCCUUUGCAGGAGGUGGUGAUCGUUCCGCAGCCGCCUCAUGUUCCUGUUCAGAAGGUGGCGACAGCUUGUCCGCAGCCGCUUCACAUUCCUGUCCAGCAGACGGCGGCAGCGUCACAGUCCCCUUCUUUCCAGUAUCGGCGACGACCGGUCCGCAGCCAUCCCUUGCCCCUGUCUCAGCGGCGUCGUCUCGCAACCGCGUCUUGGGAGGGGUUCGUCCGCAGCAGUUGCAUGCCUUUGUCUGGUUUCUGCUUCGCCGUUGGGUUCCUCCCCGAGGACGUCCACCCAAAUCACCCAGAGGGGAUCUUGGUGCUUGGCGUCCGGGUCGUCUUCCUGAUCUGUCCCAAAAAAUGCCACAAACACUAAAAAACACACAAAUCCCAAAACAACUGCCACAAGCUCACGCCACAGAAUGAUAGUCCACUGGCCACUCAGUGGAGUGACCUCCGAUACAGACCACUCUUAUGAGACCAGAGGCACCAGACAGGAUGGGGUGCCCUGAUUGGGAGAAUGUUGCAAUGAAAAAUUGGCUUACUUUUGGAGAGAAUAAUAAGUAUAUUUGCCUUAGUUAACGGUUGGACUUAUGCAAUGAUAUGGAAGAAUAGCAUAGUUAUGUAUCCAUCCAUCCAUUUUUUGAGCCGCAUAUCCUCAUAAGGGUCGUAGGAGUUCUGUAGCCUAUCCCAGCUAUCAAUGGGCAGGAGGCAGGGUACAGCCUGAUGUGUUGCCAGCCAAUCUCAGGGCUCAUGGAGAUAGACAACAGUCACACUCACAAUCACACAUAGAGGCAAUUUAGAGUCUCCAAUUAAUGUUGCAUGUUUUGGGAGGAAACUGGAGUGCACGGAGAAAACCCACACAGGCACAGGGAAAACAUGCAAACUCCACACGGGGGGUGAUUUGAACUCCGAUCCUCAGACUGUGAGGGCAAUGCUCUUCAGCUGCACCAUUGUGCAUCUUAGUUUUGUAUCUCGAAACUUAAGAGUUUGUAUUUAUCUUUAAUUAACUCAGACAUGUGCAGUUAUUAUCUUACAGUAUGUACACCAUAAAGAGGACGAGAAAGAGGUUUAAGUAAGACCAGAAACAUUGGAACACAAAUGUUGCAAAAUAAUAUAUGAAAGGCAAUUUUAUUUCUUCCAAAACGUCUUAUUGACUUGACGCUGCAUUUUUUAUAGGUCACCUCGUUGGUUUAAUCUCUGUACCCAUGUUUUGUUUUAUUUUGAUGCUAAAACAUCCUAGGAACUGACACCAUUUUCACAACACAGAAGUACAAGGAGGCAAUAGGAAAGCUCGAACAAAGAAUUACAUUUCAUAUUUGCACUAUAGAAGACUUCGAAAAUAGCUGUAAGUGGUUCUGAAACUCCACCUUUUUUUCCACAUCUAUUGUGAACUCUGGAAAAUAUUAAUUCUGUCCAUAAAUCAUUAAACAUUCUGGCUAAAUGUUUGUGUCAGGCGACAUGGUGACUCAGCUGAAAAGUGUUGGCCUCACAGUUCUGAUGUCCAGGGUUCAAUCCCAGCCAUUCUCAGUUUGCAUCUUCUCCCCGUGUCUGUGUGGAUUUUCUCUGGGCACUCCAGUUUCCUCCCACAUCCCAAAAUAUGCAAGAGUAAUUGGACACUCUAAAUUGCCCCAAGGUGUGAUUGUGAAUGCAGCUGUUUGUCUCGAUGUGCCCUGCCAUUGGCUGGCAGCCAGUUCAGGGUGUACCCCACCUUCUGCCCGUUGACAGCCGGGAUAGGUUGCAGCACUCCCCGUGAGCCUUGUGAGGAUAGGUAUCUUAGAAAAUGGAUGAAUGUAUGUUUGCGUCAUCAGUUUGAAUGAGAGUUAGCAAUUUAAUUUUGGCAUUAAUAACCUCAGGCAAAGGUUUUCAGGACUUGCAGGUCAGACGUACACAACAAUCAGAGUGUAUUUUGUACCCUUCCCCUCACAAAACUGUUGCCUACUAUCCAAUUACCAGAGGAUAGUUAUUCACAUCAGAAAUCCCAGGAAUCCUGAAGAGCUGCAACAGCUUUGUAAAGAGGACGAGUCCAAAAUGCAUCCUGAUCAGUGUGCACCUCUGAUCUGCAACUUCAGAAAACGUUUGCUUGAGGUUAUUGAUGUUAAAGGUUCAAUGUUCAGUCAGUUAUUAAAUCUAAGAGUUCACUUUUUUCUUCCUGUACUGUGAAAGUUUUGAUUAAAAAAAAAAAGUGAAAACUUUG